rnacentral:misc_RNA from 1 species
AACUUGCUACAACGUAUCUCGUGGCUCUCGCAUCGAUUAAGAACGCAGCGAAACGCGAAAUGUAAUGUGAAUUGCAGAUUUAUAGUGAAUCAUCGAAUCUUUGAACGCAUCUUGCGCCCAGUGGUAUUCCGCGGGGCAUGCCUGUCUGAGUGUCAAUACUAUCUCAACCUUACAUUUUUGUAAUGAAUUUGUAUUGGAUUGGAACUUGGGCUCCGGCGGGGUUUGAACCGCCGGCCUCAAACGCAGUAGGUUAGCCGAAUUGCGGUUUGACCGGGUGUUGUAGAGUCGCCUCACUCGGGACGCACGUCGGAUUAGCCGAUAACCCAAAAUUGUAUUUGAUUACUCGAAACGAUUAGACCUCAGAUCAGGUAGGAUUACCCGCUGAACUUAAGCAUAUCAAUAAGCGGAGGCU